UUAACCGUCAGUAAUGUGGAGUAUUGCCAAUCUCUCUCUUUUUCUUACUUUCUAUUUCUUCCAAGAAACUCAAAACCCUGUUCGCGGCCGUUUGAGAAUAGAGAAGAUAACACCGCAGUCUUGACCAGGUACCAAUUCGGGCGUUCGCUAUCCGCCGUCUCCGUUCUCCGUCCGCCAUUUGCCGCCCGUUCUCUUCCCCUUUUUUGCAAGUGCGAACCCUAAUUCCGUCUGCAACUUCUUCUAUGCUUGUGCAAUUUUGAAGGAGGUGAAUGUUUUGUGAUAUUAUUGUAUGUUUGUGGUGUCAUCUGUGCAGACAAUGACGAACAUAUUUUGGUUUUGGAAGACUGCCAAGGUUGUUAUGACAUAGAGAAGGACAAAUUAACUUUCACCAAAGUUCAUGAAUUUCUUCCAAACAAAAUAUAUCAUCAUGGUUGCCUCAAAUCCUUUUUCCAAAUAACCAAGUGGAAGGCCAGAGGAAAUGGGUGAAGGCACUUUAGCUGUUUAGCAUAUGUAAAAAGCAUCUAGACUAUGUUCGAGGUAUGGGCUUUGGUGUUUGUGCUUCUCAAGUCUUACUCAAGAGAGCCUUUGCAAUCUGCUACUAUUGUUAGACCAUCAAGAGUCAUAUAUCAUAUAUUUGCUUAGCACUUAGAUAUAUGAAUUGUUAUUGAUGCAAUACUUGUAUUGUAUAUGGCAAUACUUACUCUUUGUAGAUACUUGAAUUAUGAAUCUGAUGAACAGUGAAUUAGAUCUAUGAUUGUGUAAAUGUUUUGAUGUAGAAGGUUCUAUUGAGAAGGAGAACUUUGAUAUUGUA